rnacentral:rRNA from 1 species
UGCAGUCGAACGGUGAAAGAGGAGCUUGCUCUUCUGGAUCAGUGGCGAACGGGUGAGUAACACGUGAGCAAUCUGCCCUUGACUCUGGGAUAAGCGUUGGAAACGACGUCUAAUACCGGAUAUGACGCGCGACGGCAUCGUCUGCGCGUGGAAAGAAUUUCGGUCAAGGAUGAGCUCGCGGCCUAUCAGCUAGUUGGUGAGGUAACGGCCCACCAAGGCGACGACGGGUAGCCGGCCUGAGAGGGUGACCGGCCACACUGGGACUGAGACACGGCCCAGACUCCUACGGGAGGCAGCAGUGGGGAAUAUUGCACAAUGGGCGCAAGCCUGAUGCAGCAACGCCGCGUGAGGGACGACGGCCUUCGGGUUGUAAACCUCUUUUAGUAGGGAAGAAGCGAAAGUGACGGUACCUGCAGAAAAAGCACCGGCUAACUACGUGCCAGCAGCCGCGGUAAUACGUAGGGUGCAAGCGUUAUCCGGAAUUAUUGGGCGUAAAGAGCUCGUAGGCGGUUUGUCGCGUCUGCUGUGAAAACUGGAGGCUCAACCUCCAGCCUGCAGUGGGUACGGGCAGACUAGAGUGCGGUAGGGGAGAUUGGAAUUCCUGGUGUAGCGGUGGAAUGCGCAGAUAUCAGGAGGAACACCGAUGGCGAAGGCAGAUCUCUGGGCCGUAACUGACGCUGAGGAGCGAAAGCGUGGGGAGCGAACAGGAUUAGAUACCCUGGUAGUCCACGCCGUAAACGUUGGGAACUAGAUGUAGGGACCAUUCCACGGUUUCUGUGUCGCAGCUAACGCAUUAAGUUCCCCGCCUGGGGAGUACGGCCGCAAGGCUAAAACUCAAAGGAAUUGACGGGGGCCCGCACAAGCGGCGGAGCAUGCGGAUUAAUUCGAUGCAACGCGAAGAACCUUACCAAGGCUUGACAUAUACCGGGAAAGUUCUGGAAACAGUCCCCCCGCAAGGUCGGUAUACAGGUGGUGCAUGGUUGUCGUCAGCUCGUGUCGUGAGAUGUUGGGUUAAGUCCCGCAACGAGCGCAACCCUCGUUCUAUGUUGCCAGCACGUAAUGGUGGGAAC